UACGUAGGCAGCAAGCGUUGUUCGGAAUUACUGGGCGUAAAGAGUGUGUAGGCGGUGCUCCAAGUCUGGUGUGAAAUCUCCCGGCUUAACUGGGAGGGUGCAUUAGAAACUGGAAUGCUAGAGGAUGGGAGAGGUAAGCGGAAUUCCCGGUGUAGCGGUGAAAUGCGCAGAUAUCGGGAAGAACACCCGUGGCGAAGGCGGCUCUCUGGGACGGUACUGACGCUGAGACGCGAAAGCGUGGGGAGCGAACAGG
rnacentral:rRNA from 1 species